rnacentral:rRNA from 1 species
UGGGGAAUAUUGCACAAUGGGCGCAAGCCUGAUGCAGCCAUGCCGCGUGUAUGAAGAAGGCCUUCGGGUUGUAAAGUACUUUCAGCGAGGAGGAAGGCGUUGUGGUUAAUAACCGCAACGAUUGACGUUACUCGCAGAAGAAGCACCGGCUAACUCCGUGCCAGCAGCCGCGGUAAUACGGAGGGUGCAAGCGUUAAUCGGAAUUACUGGGCGUAAAGCGCACGCAGGAGGUCUGUCAAGUCGGAUGUGAAAUCCCCGGGCUCAACCUGGGAACUGCAUCCGAAACUGGCAGGCUAGAGUCUUGUAGAGGGGGGUAGAAUUCCAGGUGUAGCGGUGAAAUGCGUAGAGAUCUGGAGGAAUACCGGUGGCGAAGGCGGCCCCCUGGACAAAGACUGACGCUCAGGUGCGAAAGCGUGGGGAGCAAACA